GGCCUCUUGUGUGUAUAUGAGGUCUGACCUGCCCGGUGAAAAAUGAAUUUUAACGGCCGCGGUAUUUUGACCGUGCAAAGGUAGCAUAAUCAUUAGUCUUUUAAUAGGAGGCUGGUAUGAAGGGUUUGACGAGUUGCUAACUGUCUCAUUUAAUUUGAUAUUAAAAUUUAACUUUUCAGUUAAAAGGCUGAAAUUUUUUUGGAAGACGAGAAGACCCUAUAGAGCUUUAUAUGUCUAUAUUUAUUUGAAUUUUAGUUUAUUUCAUUCUUUUAAAUUAUACACGUAUUUUGUUGGGGUGACAAAAAUAUAUAAUUAACUUUUUUAUUUAUUAAACAUUGAUUUAUGAUUAAUAGAUCCAAUCUUAUUGAUUGUUAGAUUAAGUUACC
rnacentral:rRNA from 1 species